rnacentral:tRNA from 1 species
AAGAUUUUAAGUUAAAUAAACUAAUAGCCUUCAAAGCUAUAAAUAAUGUGUCUUAAUCCCUUAAAUCUUA